rnacentral:misc_RNA from 1 species
UCUCCCGUGAGGGAGCAGUCUCGCCUGACAUAUAAAACAGACAACGGGGGUUGCGUUCGUUUCCCCACUUAAGGGAACAGCUCAAGCCACGAACUGACGACGACCAUGCAUCACCUGCUAUGCACCCUCGAAGGCUUCUCCGGUUUCCCGGAGCGUGCAGCAUAGUUUCAAGCCCUGGUAAGGUUCUUCGCUUACCGACGAAUUAAGCCACAUGAUCCACCGCUUGUGCGAGUUCCCGUCUAUUCCUUUGAGUUUUAGCCUUGCGGCCGUACUACCCAGGCGGUUCCCUUAACGCGUUAGCUUCGCCACAAAGAGGGUCGAUACUCCUUAUAGCCAGGGAACAUUGUUUAGGGCGUGGACUA